UUGAAAUUUGGGGUCAGUAGGUUGGUCAUGCCACUGGUAUGUACUGGUCUCACUGAUUCCUCCUUCCCUGAUGAGACCGUAAUGCCAUUAAUUUGGUGUUGCGAGGAAUCUGGACUGUUACUUUAGAAAAAUUAGAUUGUUUAAAGCAGGCUAACCGCUUGAAUACAUUAGCAUGGAAUAAUGAAAUAGGACGUUACGAUCUUAUUUUGUUGGUUUCUAAGAUUGACGUAAUGAUUAAUAGGGAUAGUUGGGGGCAUUGGUAUUCAAUUGUCUGAGGUGAAAUUCUUGGAUUUAUUGAAGACUAACUACUGCGAAAGCAUUUGCCAAGGAUGUUUUCAUUAAUCAAGAACGAAAGUUAGGGGAUCGAAGACGAUCAGAUACCGUCGUAGUCUUAACCAUAAACUAUGCCGACUAGGGAUCGGAUGAUGUUAAUUUUUUAAUGACUC
rnacentral:rRNA from 1 species